UACGGGGGGGGCAAGCGUUGUUCGGAAUUACUGGGCGUAAAGCGUGCGCAGGCGGCUAUGCAAGUCAGAUGUGAAAGCCCCGGGCUUAACCUGGGAAUGGCAUUUGGGACUGCAAGGCUUGAGUGCGGCAGGGGAGACUGGAAUUCCCGGUGUAGCAGUGAAAUGCGUAGAUAUCGGGAGGAAUACCGAUGGCGAAGGCAGGUCUCUGGGCUGACACUGACGCUCAUGCACGAAAGCGUGGGGAGCAAACAGG
rnacentral:rRNA from 1 species